CCGGCACGGUGAGUAACACGUAUCCAACCUGCCGUCUACUCUUGGACAGCCUUCUGAAAGGAAGAUUAAUACAAGAUGGCAUCAUGAGUCCGCAUGUUCACAUGAUUAAAGGUAUUCCGGUAGACGAUGGGGAUGCGUUCCGUUAGAUAGUAGGCGGGGUAACGGCCCACCUAGUCUUCGAUGGAUAGGGGUUCUGAGAGGAAGGUCCCCCACAUUGGAACUGAGACACGGUCCAA
rnacentral:rRNA from 1 species